AUUGAACGCUGGCGGCAGGCCUAACACAUGCAAGUCGAGCGGAGCGGCGAACGGGUGAGUAAUGCCUAGGAAUCUGCCUGGUAGUGGGGGAUAACGUCCGGAAACGGGCGCUAAUACCGCAUACUAUCAGAUGAGCCUAGGUCGGAUUAGUUCGUUGGUGGGGUAAAGGACUACCAAGGCGACGAUCCGUAACUGGUCUGAGAGGAGAAUCAGUCACACUGGAACUGGGACCCGGUCCAGACUCCUACGGGAGGCAGAAGUGGGGAAGAUUGGACAAUGGGCGAAAGCCUGAUCCAGCCAUGCCGCGUGUGGGAAGAAGGUCUUCGAAUUGUAAAGCCCUUUAAGUUGGGAGGCGUUACCAACAGAAUGAGCACCGGCUAACUUCGUGCCAGCAGCCGCGGUAAUAC
rnacentral:rRNA from 1 species